rnacentral:lncRNA from 1 species
AACCCAAACCAAUCAACCUCAGUAUACUGAUCGUUCCUAGAGCAAGUGGCAAAGGAUUUAGUGGUUGGUACUCGAGAUUCCAAAUUCGAAUCCUAAUUGAUUCACAUUUUCAGCUAAGUUUAUUUCUAAAUGAAAUAAACGAAGCGGGUAGCGUGCUACCUAUUUCUCAAAAAAAAAAAAAAAAAAAUCAAGCCCAGUAUUCGGCAUUCUUUCUCCACCUUUGAUGAUUAACUCGGCAAUUUGAUCACGAGCAUAAUUUAAUGCCCCCUAAAGACAUGAGCUACCAAGAGAUAAAGGUGCUGCUGUUACGAUGAGCGCACAAAUAGAAACGAAAAAGACGAUCACAAAGUAGAUAAUUCAUAACAAUAGUAAAAUAAAAUGGAAUAUAAUAAUUUAAGUAAAAAAUCUUUUACAGGAAAAAAAUUAUGGACGAAAGAGAAGAGAAUUUUACUAUAAAAAAAAGAGUACAAUAUUAUAGAAGCACACU